rnacentral:rRNA from 1 species
CCGUAGGUGACCUGCGGAAGGAUCAUUGCAAAAUGAGAAGAGGAAAAUGAGUUGUAAUGUGAGCAUAAUGUGAUUGACAAAUAUUUCUUUACUUACACAACUCUCCACAAUGGAUCUCUGGGCUCUUGCAUCGAUGAAGAACGCAGCAAAACGCGAAAUGUGUUAUGACAUGCAAUCUUUGAGAAUCAAGAAAUUUUUGAACGCACCAUGUACCCUGCAAAGGGUAUACUUGUUUGAGUAUGAAAACGCAAAUGGAGAUUACGAGUUAUUUGUUUCUCUGAAAUACAAUAACAUAGAGUGUGUGAAUUGAAACUCGUUUUGGGAUAAAUGAACAAGACAAGAAUCAAAUCAUAUACUAGAGUGAACUACAUCUAUAUUUGUAACUUCACCCACCACUUUACAAUCUCAUCUCAAAUCAAGCAAGAUUACCCGCUGAACUUAA